CUGAAACGCCUUCCUGUUUCACUGAAAUGCCUUCCUGUUCAACUGAAACGCCUUCCUGUUCAACUGAAAUGCCUUGGUUUUUCAGUAGUGUGUGUGAGAGCGUUUCAGUAGUGUGUGUGAGAGCGUUUCAGUAGUGUGUGUGAGAGGUAAAAUUUCAGUAGUGUGUGUGAGAGCGUUUCAGUUGUGUGUGUGAGAGCGUUUCAGUUGUGUGUGUGAGAGCGUUUCAGUAGUGUGUGUGAGAGCGUUUCAGUAGUGUGUGUGAGAGGUAAAAUUUCAGUAGUGUGUGUGAGAGCGUUUCAGUAGUGUGUGUGAGAGCGUUUCAGUAGUGUGUGUGAGAGUGUUUCAGUAGUGUGUGUGAGAGCGUUUCAGUAGUGUGUGUGAGAGCGUUUCAGUAGUGUGUGUGAG
ensembl:lncRNA